rnacentral:rRNA from 1 species
UGGGGAAUUUUGGACAAUGGGCGAAAGCCUGAUCCAGCAAUGCCGCGUGUGUGAAGAAGGCCUUCGGGUUGUAAAGCACUUUUGUCCGGAAAGAAAUCCUUGGCUCUAAUACAGUCGGGGGAUGACGGUACCGGAAGAAUAAGCACCGGCUAACUACGUGCCAGCAGCCGCGGUAAUACGUAGGGUGCAAGCGUUAAUCGGAAUUACUGGGCGUAAAGCGUGCGCAGGCGGUUUGCUAAGACCGAUGUGAAAUCCCCGGGCUCAACCUGGGAACUGCAUUGGUGACUGGCAGGCUAGAGUAUGGCAGAGGGGGGUAGAAUUCCACGUGUAGCAAUGAAAUGCGUAGAGAUGUGGAGGAAUACCGAUGGCGAAGGCAGCCCCCUGGGCCAAUACUGACGCUCAUGCACGAAAGCGUGGGGAGCAAACAGGAUUAGAUACCCUGGUAGUCCACGCCCUAAAACGAUGUCAACUAGUUGUUGGGGAUUCAUUUCCUUAGUAACGUAGCUAACGCGUGAAGUUGACCGCCUGGGGAGUACGGUCGCAAGAUUAAAACUCAAAGGAAUUGACGGGGUCAUAGCUG